ACUCAAUAUUUCGUUUCUAGGCCUUUCAAGCGUUGUAACCGCUGCGCACAUUGUUGACAUUGAAGAAACGUUGACAUCAUUAUUACAAAUCAAAAUGUCAUCGACCAGAGAACGAGUUUCUUCAUUGAUGACUGGCGUGAGGCUAACCUUCUAUUAUGGCUUCAUUCCUACUGUACUCAUUCUUGGCUUCUUGAAAGGUGCAGAUGAAGGAACACCACCACUUUCUCCUCUAAGCUUACUAUGGCAGUGAACAUUUUAGCUGAACUGCUCCAAGUUGUAUGUGGAUGACAUCAUCGCUUCAGCAACUUCCAUUUCAUGGCACAGAGGAAGUGAUGCACACACAAUGAAAUUGAACAUUUUUCCCUGCAUAUUGUAGGCAUUUAUUUAUUCAUGAUGAAUAAACCUUGAACCCAAAAGUC